GAUCAUGGCUCAGGAUGAACGCUGGCGGCGUGCCUAAUACAUGCAAGUGAAACGGGUAUCUUCGGAUACCAGUCGCGGACGGGUGAGUAAUACAUAGGCAACCUGCCUUUAUGAGGGGGAUAACCGAGGGAAACUUUGGCUAAUACCGCAUGAAGACUCUAAGGCAUCUUAGAGGGAUAAAAGUUGGGAAACAACGCAUGAAGAUGGGCUUAUGGCGCAUUAGCUAGUUGGUGAGAUAGAAGCCCACCAAGGUAAUGAUGCGUAGCCGACCUGAGAGGGUGAACGGCCACAUUGGGACUGAGACACGGCCCAAACUCCUACGGGAGGCAGCAGUAGGGAAUUUUCGGCAAUGGGGGGAACCCUGACCGAGCAACGCCGCGUGAAGGAAGAAGGUUUUCGGAUUGUAAACUUCUGUUAUAAGGGAAGAACGGAUUGGAUAGGGAAUGAUCUGAUGGUGACGGUACCUUAUUAGAAAGCCACGGCUAACUACGUGCCAGCCGCCGC
rnacentral:rRNA from 1 species